GUGGGGAAUAUUGGACAAUGGGGGGAACCCUGAUCCAGCCAUGCCGCGUGUGUGAAGAAGGCCUUUUGGUUGUAAAGCACUUUAAGCGAGGAGGAGGCUACCGAGAUUAAUACUCUUGGAUAGUGGACGUUACUCGCAGAAUAAGCACCGGCUAACUCUGUGCCAGCAGCCGCGGUAAUACAGAGGGUGCAAGCGUUAAUCGGAUUUACUGGGCGUAAAGCGCGCGUAGGUGGCCAAUUAAGUCAAAUGUGAAAACCCCGAGCUUAACUUGGGAAUUGCAUUCGAUACUGGUUGGCUAGAGUAUGGGAGAGGAUGGUAGAAUUCCAUGUGUAGCGGUGAAAUGCGUAGAGAUCUGGAGGAAUACCGAUGGCGAAGGCAGCCAUCUGGCCUAAUACUGACACUGAGGUGCGAAAGCAUGGGGAGCAAACAGGAUUAGAUACCCUUGUAGUCC
rnacentral:rRNA from 1 species